UGGGGAAUAUUGGUCAAUGCGGGAAACCGUGAUCCAGCAAUGCCGCGCGAGUGAUGAAGGCCUUAGGGUUGUAAAGCUCUUUUACCAGGGAUGAUAAUGACAGUACCUGGAGAAUAUGCUCCGGCUAACUCCGUGCCUGCAGCCGCGGUAAUACGGAGGGAGCUAGCGUUGUUCGGAAUUACUGGGCGUAAAGCGCGCGUAGGCGGCUAUCCAAGUCAGGGGUGAAAUCCCGGGGCUCAACCCCGGAACUGCCCUUGAAACUAGGUAGCUAGAAUACUGGAGAGGUGAGUGGAAUUCCGAGUGUAGGGGUGAAAUUCGUAGAUAUUCGGAAGAACACCAGUGGCGAAGGCGACUCACGGGACAGUGAUUGACGCUGAGGUGCGAAAGCGUGGGGAGCAAACAGGAUUAGAUAC
rnacentral:rRNA from 1 species